GAAAGAAAGAGAAAGGGAGAGAGAGAAUGAGAGAAGAGAAGGGAUGGGAGGGCAGAGAGAGUGAAAUUAGACUGAAGGGGAGGGAGGCGAAUCUGUGAGGUGAGGAUUCUGCCUUACAACACUGAGCAUGUCUUUGUGAGGAUACGAUUAUACUGUUCUAAGGUCUAUUUUCUGUUGUUUAAAGCAGAACAGUGAACUGCGUGUCUGUCUUCAAUGAGUAUACACUGAAAUAACAACAGGUUUUGCAAGUCUAGGGUGUUGAUGUCAUCUUAACCCUCUGUGUGUGUCAGAAGCAGAACAGGGACAGUGUAUCUAGCCAGUCACCACAAUGUCACCCAAACACACCACAGCUGCACUCCACUUCCCACAGUGCUCAUUCAGAUUAGCCAAAUUAAUCAUACAGUGUGUAUACAUUAUUAAAGAAUUUAUGUAAAUUUGCUUGUUAAAAUGUACUUGGUGUUUUUAAUUUUUUCUCAAAUAUGAAAUGCUAUAUAUAUAUAUAUAUAUAUAUAUAUAUAUAUAUAUAUAUAUAUAUAUAUAUAUAUAUAUAUAUAUAUAUAUAUAUGUAUGUAUGUAUAAUGAUGAAUUGUUCACAGUAAGAUCUAUAACAUGCAUUUAUAAAAUAGGACAGUUUUCAAUUAAUGCUGACUUUAAAAAUGACUUAACAUGUACGAAAUCUGUAACUUGUAUGUGUAUAGUGCUGUCCCACAGUUCUAUGAAUUAUUUAAAAAUAUUUAAAAUAUCAAAUGGAAAUUUACAACUCUAAAGUUAUAACACUAACUAUAAUCUAUUUUGCAAAUUUCUAGAUGAAUUUUUCAUAGUGCCUCACAAAAAACUGAUUUCCUGUGAUGUAUUGUAUUAGAUUGAGAUGACAAUCCUUCUUGCUCUUCCCUUUUUAAAAGAUUUUUUUUAAUCUGUUCACAACAUUUCAGAGUUUGUGCACAACAUGUCCAAACUGAUCUGAGAUGAAUCAUUAGAUUUAGUUGGCUUGGUUUAUGGAACAUAAUUGUCUUGACUCAUCUGCCAGUUAAUUGUUCAUAACAGAGAUGUAAAGUACACAAUAAAGACUAUUUUAAACAACAUGAAUGAUUCGGUGUAAUUUAAAGGUGAGGUCAGGCAACCUAAAUGAGUCAAGCUAAUCAUUUUCCAUUACUGAUUUGAAUAAACUCAAACAACAUUGUUGUAACCGUUCUAAAGAACACUAUGUGCAGGCACAAAGUUUACCUUGCUCUGUUUUGAAAGAUGAAAAAUCACAUUUUGAGACCGGGGUCCCAGUAAUGUUAACCCACCCUCGAGGGACACAGCCUGUCACAUUCAUUCCUUCAUCUGUCAGGCUCCUGGUACCAGUUUGUUGCCAUGGUAAUACCGUCUGGUGAUGCAGUCGGAAAAGCUGUAGAGUCCUAAUUGGCCUCAGUCCUAGAUAACCAAUAGCGUUGACUACGUUUUCUAGAGACACCGCUGAUUUCCCUCCGAAAGUCGAGACAUGGAAAGAAGAGAGAAUAAAGUGUCCAACGUCUCCCCACAAAAACAGACAGUGAAAAAUAGAUCCAAGUCCACAGAGGAGGUACAGCAAGCCAAAAAGGCCUUUCAUACACCACAAAAAUCUCUUCCGGCUAAACCAGAAACCGAACAACUUGAGGAGACCUCAGAACUGAGUGCCUCAUCAGAGGAGUUAAAAUGAUUGUUGGAUUCAAACUUCGGGGCUUUGAGAUUUAGACAGAUCAACCGGAAUUAUGGGUAAUAACAAGAGGAUGAUUCAGUGUCUUUACUGAAUUCAGUGUUUUACUUUGUUUAGUUCAUAUAGAAGAAAACCAACAAUAAUCAUGUGUAGCUUCUUGAAUUUGUAUGAGUCUGUUUUGUUUGUGAAAUAAAUGGAUAUCUCAG
ensembl:lncRNA